UGAUUGUACACAGUGAAAAUGCCAUGCUU
rnacentral:piRNA from 1 species